UGGGAAGAACAUAGCUUGCAGGUGGA
rnacentral:piRNA from 1 species